CUUUGGGAUAACCCUCGGAAACGGGGGCUAAUACCGGAUAUGACCUUCGGCCGCAUGGUUGGGGGUGGAAAGUUUUUUCGGCCUGGGAUGGGCUCGCGGCCUAUCAGCUUGUUGGUGGGGUGAUGGCCUACCAAGGCGACGACGGGUAGCCGGCCUGAGAGGGCGACCGGCCACACUGGGACUGAGACACGGCCCAGACUCCUACGGGAGGCAGCAGUGGGGAAUAUUGCACGAUGGGCGGAAGCCUGAUGCAGCGACGCCGCGUGAGGGAUGAAGGCCUUCGGGUUGUAAACCUCUUUCAGCAGGGACGAAGCGUAAGUGACGGUACCUGCAGAAGAAGCGCCGGCCAACUACGUGCCAGCAGCCGCGGUAAGACGUAGGGCGCGAGCGUUGUCCGGAUUUAUUGGGCGUAAAGAGCUCGUAGGCGGCUUGUUGCGUCGACCGUGAAAACCCGGGGCUCAACUUCGGGCUUGCGGUCGAUACGGGCGGGCUAGAGUUCGGUAGGGGAGACUGGGAUUCCUGGUGUAGCGGUGAAAUGCGCAGAUAUCAGGAGGAACACCGGUGGCGAAGGCGGGUCUCUGGGCCGAUACUGACGCUGAGGAGCGAAAGCGUGGGGAGCGAACAGGAUUAGAUACCCUGGUAGUCCACGCUGUAAACGUUGGGCGC
rnacentral:rRNA from 1 species